AAAAGGGAAUUUAUUGAGCGAUUAUUCUAUCCCAGUGUAGGGUGGUGUGUUUUUUUUUGAGUAUUUUUGGUUAACAUCAUCACCAUUCGCUUAUGCGGAAGUUAUAACCUUUCGAAAAGAAUCUGUGGAAACCGACCAACAACUAAGGUUUCAACUUAUACUAGUUUUCAAGAUAGUACUAGUUUCGAAUUUAUUAAUCGUACUUAAUUAAUCAGGAGCAGAUUAACUGGAGAUCUUCAUAAGUGUUUACGUCAUCGCUAGCGUGGUAACCUGGUGAACCUUGGUGGAGACCUAAAAAAAAGAAGAUAAACCAGAUAAGUUAAUUUAACUAUUUUAAAUUACGAAUCAACUUACUUGUGUCGAGUAACUAACAUUGAAUUCUUUAUUUCGGUAUUAUCGUGAUUUCAAUAAUUCAAGUUAGUAAAUAUUUUUUGUUUUGUUUUCUUUAUUUUGUUCGAGAUAUUAUUUAAUUUUUUUUUAUGCAUUUUCUUAAUGUUGUUGUGAGGGGAAACACAAUGUAAUUACACAAUUAAUGUUAAGCUUAUGCGGACCAGAGUUAUUUAUUUUUGUUAUUGAUUUUAAAAGGUAUUUUGCAUUGCUUUGGAGUUUGAAAUUUCUCGCAAAAAUUUCUGGCGCUCAACAUUUAAUAAAUUUAAUUCGUAUUAUAUUUUUUUUUA